rnacentral:rRNA from 1 species
AUUGAACGCUGGCGGCAGGCUUAACACAUGCAAGUCGAGCGGGGGAAGGUAGCUUGCUACUGGACCUAGCGGCGGACGGGUGAGUAAUGCUUAGGAAUCUGCCUAUUAGUGGGGGACAACAUCUCGAAAGGGAUGCUAAUACCGCAUACGUCCUACGGGAGAAAGCAGGGGAUCUUCGGACCUUGCGCUAAUAGAUGAGCCUAAGUCGGAUUAGCUAGUUGGUGGGGUAAAGGCCUACCAAGGCGACGAUCUGUAGCGGGUCUGAGAGGAUGAUCCGCCACACUGGGACUGAGACACGGCCCAGACUCCGACGGGAGGCAGCAGUGGGGAAUAUUGGACAAUGGGGGGAACCCUGAUCCAGCCAUGCCGCGUGUGUGAAGAAGGCCUUAUGGUUGUAAGGCACUUUAAGCGAGGAGGAGGCUACUUUAGUUAAUACCUAGAGAUAGUGGACGUUACUCGCAGAAUAAGCACCGGCUAACUCUGUGCCAGCAGCCGCGGUAA